rnacentral:tRNA from 1 species
UCCCUGGUGGUCCAAUGGUUAAGACUUCACCCUCCAAUGCAGAAGGGCCUGGGUUCAGACCCUGGUCAGGGAA